rnacentral:misc_RNA from 1 species
GAAAUGCGAUAAGUAAUGUGAAUUGCAGAAUUCAGUGAAUCAUCGAAUCUUUGAACGCACCUUGCGCUCCUUGGUAUUCCUUGGAGCAUGCCUGUUUGAGUAUCAUGAAAUCUUCAAAGUAAAUCUUUUGUUAACUCAAUUGGUUUCUACUUUGGUAUUGGAGGUCUUUGCAGCUUCACACCUGCUCCUCUUUGUUCAUUAGCUGGAUCUCAGUGUUAUGCUUGGUUCCACUCGUCGUGAUAAGUUAUCUAUCGCUGAGGACACUGUAAAAGGUGGCCAAGGUAAAUGCAGAUGAACCGCUUCUAAUAGUCCAUUGACUUGGACAAUACUUUUAUGAUCUGAUCUCAAAUCAGGUAGUACUACCCGCUGAACUUAAGC